rnacentral:misc_RNA from 1 species
UUUUUCCCUUCCCCCUCCCUCAAUCUCUUUUUCUCACCCAAAAUUAUAAUUAGAAUUGAGAAUUUCAACAUAAAUCAACAAGCAGCACCUUCCUCAUAAUUAAUCACAAACCCAGAAAAUUCAUUCAAAGGAUUACAACUCUCUUCCAAUUAGCAAAACCCAUAAAAAAUUAUAAUUGAAACUUGAUAGCUGAUGCCAAAUUCUAUGUCUGCUCAAGCCACCAGAACAAGCUUAUACUAUUGAAGAGGAGAUGACCAAUUAUGUUCUUAUAAUUGACAAACUCUGCCCAACUUCGAUUCAUGUCCCUAUCGUUAAAUCAGCUGUCUCCUCAAAAGGUUAGGAAAGGAUGAAGAUGAAGAGUGCAUGUGCCCAGUGUGAUUAGUUUCUAUCAAGAAUUAGAGAUGAGAGUUAUGGAAAUUUUCUCAUAUGUUACACAAGGAGUGCCUGGACAAAUGGGUUGAUGAAGGGCAGGUUACCUGCCCAUUAUGCAGAUCCAUGCUUUUUCCAGAAAUAUAUGGGCAAGGCAUGGAGGAGAUCCAUGGAUUAUGGAAAGGAAUGCUCUAUUUUCAGGUGGUGACCAUGUAAUGGGAAGAAAAUAAGUCAGAUCAUGUAGAUCCCUCCUGAUUACUGAUAUGAUAGAGACUGCAAGAUCUAUUGAAGAUCUAUAGGUGAUGAAGAAGAAUUCUAUCUUUUCUAUUGAUGUUUUGUGAUGAAAGCAAGUUGCCUCUUCCUCUGUGUUUGUGAUUGGGGAGGGGUGAUGUGUUGGUUUUGUGAAAAUGGUCAGUUGGGGGUAGGUUUGCGAGAAUGUUUCAAGGAGGGGCUUUGGUGCUGAGAGGGAGAAAGAAGGGGGGAAAAGGGAAGAGAGAUUUUG